GUGGGGGGCUAUAAAAGGUGCGACUGUGCGCCUCCUGUUUCAAUCGCCUUUCCUCCACCGCGCGCAACAGAGUUUUCCAUAACAUCAGCAUGAAGAAGCUAAGCCUCGCUUUCGUCGCAGUCCUGCUGCUGGCUCUCCAUCUCACCUCCCAGGUGGCCGAGGCGAGUAGUGGAGCCGGCGCGAACACACACACCAACACCACUACGACAGAAAACGGCUGCGGGAGUCCCGCCGCCUUCACGCUGCUGGUCACCCCGUUGCUUCUGUCCACGGUUCUCCUGCACGGCUGGUCCGGAUGAUCUGAUCCGCGCUGGACACUCGGAAGCGGGCAGGGGACACAACGUUAAUGUUUAAUAAAAAGGAGAAAAUGAAUUGAUUUAAAGGUUUUUGGGAGAUCAAUAAUUAAUCAUCUUCAGGAGGGGAAAGAGCGCGCGCGGAGCCCGGGGCGCGUCCUGCUCUUCAUCAACUCUGAAACUCAGCCAAUCACAACACGGUCUCCUGCUCCUGUCCUCCCGCCAGUAA